ACAUUGCUGAUUGCACUUUCUUCUUCCUCCUCUUUAUGCAUCUCUCUCUCUCUCUCUUCUCUUUUUGUGUUUGCUUGUGUGGAAAAGAAAAAAGAUGAAAGCAAGACACAAGUUUCUCCAAGGUCUCCUUGAGGCCUUUAUCAUGCAUGAGUACUCAAUGAAAAGUACCAUCGCCAUACUGAACUUCUCAAAGAUUGGAAUCCAUGGAUUGAAAGAAAUCCUUACAGCAGCAAUCUUUGCCAGCAUUCAUGAGUUUGAAAAUCCAAGUUCCAAUAUUGUAACGUUGGCUUGCUCAUGAUACUUGGGUCCUAUCCUAUCUGAGCUUUUAUAUUUAUCAUUUUCUUUAUCCAAGGUCUUAUAAGGUCGAUCUUCUUGACCUUGUAAGACCUUUUCAUAAUUUAGUAAGAUCUAGCAACGUAUCAAUUGUUUUUAUUUUGUAAUUUCUCGCGAAUUCUAUAUCAUAGUCUGUUGACAUAGAGUUUAGUGGUUAUAUUUUCCCAUAACUACCUAACUCAUCUCCUCCUUCCUUGUCUAUCCCUCCUGAGCUAUUUGAAACUUGCCCGACAUGCAUCUCUCCUAAAUAUAUUGUCUCUCAGAAGAUCACUUGAGAAGAUCCUUGAGUUUAUGCAAGAAAUGGAGAUCUCGAUUGCAACAUGGAUUACAAUAAUUUUUAUUUUCACAUGUAAAUGUAGAAGGAUCGAAGAAAAUGCUAAGAGUGAUGAUCCUUGAGGUAGUAGUUAGAAUGUAUUAAUUAUUUUUAAAAACACCGUACGUGUUGUUUGAUUGAGAAUUAAUGCUAGCUAGUUGUUUGUUUUAAGUUCUGUAAAGCUAGGCCAUCAAUUUCAAUUGCAUUAUUGUGUGCAGAAAUAUGCUUCUGCAGACAUCAGUUUCGUUGUUUUA